rnacentral:rRNA from 1 species
GCGGCACAGCUCAAUUUGAAUCUGGCCUCUUUGGGGUCCGAGUUGUAAUUUGUAGAGGAUGUUUCGGGCACCGCUCCGGUUUAAAUUUCUUGGAACAGAAUGUCAAAGAGGGUGAGAACCCCGUCUUGGACCGGCAGUAGGGCCCAUGUGAAACUCCUUCGACGAGUCGAGUUGUUUGGGAAUGCAGCUCAAAAUGGGUGGUAAAUUUCAUCUAAAGCUAAAUAUUGGCCAGAGACCGAUAGCGCACAAGUAGAGUGAUCGAAAGAUGAAAAGCACUUUGAAAAGAGAGUUAAACAGUACGUGAAAUUGUUGAAAGGGAAGCGCUUGCAACCAGACUUGCGCGCGGCGGUUCCCCCUUCCUUUUGGUUGGGUUAUUCCGCCGUGUCCAGGCCAACAUCGGUUCUGGGGGGUCGGUUAAAGGCCUGGGGAAUGUAUCUACCCUUCGGGCGUAGACUUAUAGCCCCGGGGUGUCAUGCGACCCCCCCGGGACCGAGGAACGCGCUUCGGCUCGGAUGUUGGCGUAAUGGUUGUCAGCGAC